rnacentral:rRNA from 1 species
CCGGGUGCCCAUACCGGAGGGGAAACACCCGUUCCCAUUCCGAACACGGUCGUUAAGCCCUCCAGGGCCGAUGGUACUGGGUGGUCUACCCACCUGGGAGAGUAGGUCGGUGCCCGGG